CACCUAUCUUCCCAAGGCCUGUCUAUGAGUUCUUUAUCUUGACAGGUCAAGGGCCUCUGCAGUAUCCCCUUUACCUGUGUGCCUUCUAGUGUUGGGCCAGAAACUCAGCACACAGCAAGCACUGAGGUGGAGGGCUGGGGAUGAAGGCUUACAACCCUUAUAGAGGAAACAAAAACCAGAUUCCUGUGACACCUAUGACACCUAGUGGGCCUAUCCUCCCCACUCCCAGUGUUCCUGCUAUUCAACCAUGCUGGAAUAAGGUCUCAAAGUCACUGCUUCUCCGUGCUCAUUGCCGUAGGGUUGUUAGGACUGGUGAUGAGAGGGACACCCAGGGGUUGGGGAUUUAGCUCAGUGGUAGAGCGCUUGCCUAGCAAGCGCAAGGCCCUGGGUUCGGUCCCCAGCUCCGGAAAAAAAAAAAAAGAGGGACACCCAGUUUUGGAAGGGCCAAAGAUACAUACUCCCUUUGAAAAACGCUUUCCUAAACUAUGCCCCCCCACCCCCCUCCACUUAACUCUGACAACUCCUCUCAGCUGUGGCUGUGCUCACUCUGACAUUUGACACAGACUGAGGCUGCACACUGAAGCUGUGGCCUGACCACUGGGCAACCUAGCCAGUUCAAUGACUGCAUUUGCUAGGGAGUAAUAAAGCCUUUAUUCCAUGA
rnacentral:lncRNA from 1 species